GAGGAGAAAAGAAAGCCAUUGAAGCUUCCUUAGUUUCGGCAUUUGCAUGAAGUGAUUUAGGUAUGUUUUGUGUUCGGUUUUUGAUAAUUUUUAUGUUUUUGAGAUCGUUGCUUCGUAUUCUAGCUAGCCCGUAUCUCUGAUUUCAAAACUGUUAAAGUAUUUGAAUGUUGCCAUUGUUGAGUGCAUGAGUAUUUUGAUAGUUGAUGAUGGAAAAUAAAUUAUUGUUGUUGGAUAUACAUGUUUUGUAAAGUAAAUUUUGGUAAAAAUGUCAAUUUUGGAUUAAAUUGUGAAUUAUUGAAAUUAUGUGGUUGAAAGUGUGAAUAAAUGAAACUAUGGGCUGUUAUGAAGUAGUAGUAAAUUCAUCUAGGCAUGGGUUUGGCCAAAAUUGAAUGAAUUUAAUUUUUCGAGCUUAGGGACUAAAUUGUAAAGAAGUUGAAAUAUCAGGGGCAAAAAUGUAAUUUUUCCAUAAAGUAAUUUAUGGGCUGUUUUAAUACCAUGAAUAUUCGGUUAAGCUUAAAUAUGGUUAAAAACAGUUAAUUUGCAUUUUUUUAGCUCAGUGACUAAAUUGAAUAAAAGUAAAACUUUAAGGGUAAAAUAGUAAUUUUACCAAAAUAUGAAAUUGAGUUAAAAUGAAUAGAAUAUGAAUUGUAAUAGUUAAAUUUGAUUGAUUAGAUCAAGUUAAGCCUCGUACGAGUCUAUAUCGAGGGAAAAACAAAGUAUCGGAUUCGUCGAUCUAAUUUAUCGUUACCGCGAACGAGGUAAGUUCGUAUGCAAUAAGCAUUGUUAAAUUUAUGUUUCUAAUGCUUUAAUAUCGUAUAAAUUGUAUAUACGUGAAUAUUUUAAUGUCUGACGACAUAUCGACAAAAUGUGGCACUUAGUGUGCGGGGCAAUCAAAUAUGGUACUUAGUGUACGAAAUAUUGAGAAUGGCACUUAGUGUACGAAAUAUUGAGAAUGUCACUUAGUGUGCGAGAUAUUGAGAAUGGCACUUAGUGUGCAAAAUAUCGAAUGAUUCAAAGGGAAAUUAUAAAUUGUGAUUGAAUGAUUAAAUAGAGCAAAGUGAACAGGUAUACAUGCUAUAUUAUAUGAAUUGUUUAUGAGACAACUUUAUAAUGGUGAUAUUUGGGCUUUGAGCCUAGCAAGCUUUAAGCUGGUGAAUAAUAUUAUCGGGUUUAAAACCUAGCAGGCUAAAUGCCGGUGAUUUGAUAAAAGUCUAAGACUAUGAGACCUUGUGUUAAAUCGGCAAUUGAAUUUGUUCAAUGCAUUAAGUUGGCCAGGUAUGUGAUAUAUUCUUAUGCAUGUUAGAUCGAUUGGAAUUGAAUCAUGAGUGUGAAAUGAGAAGCAUAGGUGAAAAUGCCUAUGUCAUACAUGUGAGUAAGGGCAAAACCAUCGUAAAUUAUCGAUAAGGGUGGACUAUGUGCGGAAUCAUCUUAUAAUUGCUAAUUUGAACGGUUGUGUGCGAAUCAUUGAGCAUGAUGUAUUGUAUUGAGAUUAUACUUGAGUGAAAUUAUAGAUAUGUGAUGAAAUUGAUUGGUGAUAUACAUGUUUAAAUAAUGUGAAUGCAAAGAAUGUGUGAAAGAGUAAAUUUGUAAUAAAUCUGCUUGGGACAGAAGCAGUAAUGUGAUUUUAGAAAAUCACCAUAAAUUGUUGGAGUUGAGUUAGAAGCUGAAUAAAUCAUGUAAUUAAAUAUUAAUGAGUCUAGUUUCUUAUAAAAGAAAUCGUGUAAGCAAAAGAAUUGCUGAUAAUGAGAUAUUUGAAGUGGCGUGGGAUAGAGUCAAAUGACUUCGGGGUCCCCUGUUCUGUUUUUAGAAAAUUAUUAUAAUUUGUAAAAAAAUGGUUAUAAGAUAAAAUUUAUAUGCUUAGACUCCUUAAUGAAUCUAGUUUCAAAUGAAAUCAAAUAGAACAUAUUUUGAAUUCUAUACAAUGAGAAAUUUGAUUCGUAGUGAAGAGUGGUCAGAUUAGUUAAACAGUGAAACAGGGGAAACUUUAAGAAAAAUCUGGUAUUGAUUGGCCAAACCUAAAAUUCUGAAAAUUUUAUGGAUGGAAGAUAUAUGAGUUUAUUUUCAGGGAAAAUUAACAGCAAUUGAUUUGGAGUUUUUUAGCUCCAGUUAUAAAUAAUUUAGUGACUAUUGCUCAGGAAGACAACUUGUAGUGAAUUUGUGAUUAUGUUGUAAACAUUGAUAAAACUUGUUAAUGAGUUGCUUAUUGUUUUCUUAUGAACUUACUAAGCGUAAAGCUUACUCCCCUUUUCUUUCCCAUAUUCCUUAGGGUUGCCAUGUUAGCUCGGGUUGGAGGCCGUCAGAGAUAUUAUCACAUUGUCAAGUCUAUACUAUCGGCGUAAGUAAAUCUUAGUGUUUUGAGUCUAUGGCAUGUAUAGGGUUGUAAAGUUGAGUAAGUAAAUGAUACAAGACUAAGAUAUUGGUAAAUAUUUAAUAAUGCCUCAUGAAUAUUUUGGGCCUUGUAAGCCCGAUUAAAGGAUAAUAUACAUGUGUAUGAAAAGUUUAAAAUUGAUCAAAAAUUUUUACGGUCUGAUUUUAUAUAAAUGGAUGAG
rnacentral:lncRNA from 1 species